GAAAUAGGGAACCACAAGGAUGAGCUUCUAACUCGAUCCUUUAGCAGCGAAACUCUGUUAAUAUUUCU
rnacentral:tRNA from 1 species